rnacentral:rRNA from 5 species
UCCCGGUAAUUUAGUAUAUUGUGGUCCACCUCUUCCCAUUCCGAACAGAGAAGUGAAAGCAAUAUACUCCGAUGAUACUUUCGCCUUCGGGCAUUGGGAAAGUAGGAUUCGCCGGGAU